GUGGAUUAGAUACCCGAGUAGUCCACGCCCUAAACGAUGCGAACUGGAUGUUGGGUGCAACUAGGCACUCAGUAUCGAAGCUAACGCGUUAAGUUCGCCGCCUGGGGAGUACGGUCGCAAGACUGAAACUCAAAGGAAUUGACGGGGGCCCGCACAAGCGGUGGAGUAUGUGGUUUAAUUCGAUGCAACGCGCAGAACCUUACCUGGCCUUGACAUCCACGGAACUUUCCAGAGAUGGAUUGGUGCCUUCGGGAACCGUGAGACAGGUGCUGCACGGCCGUCGACAACU
rnacentral:rRNA from 1 species